rnacentral:rRNA from 1 species
CCAACAAGCUUGCUUGUUGGGGUUGUAGGACACUCUAUACGGAGUUACAAAGGACGACAUUAGACGAAUCAUCUGGAAAGAUGAAUCAAAGAAGGUAAUAAUCCUGUAGUCGAAAAUGUUGUCUCUCUUGAGUGGAUCCUGAGUACGACGGAGCACGUGAAAUUCCGUCGGAAUCUGGGAGGACCAUCUCCUAAGGCUAAAUACUCUCUAGUGACCGAUAGUGAACCAGUACCGUGAGGGAAAGGUGAAAAGCACCCCGGAAGGGGAGUGAAAUAGAACCUGAAACCGUGUGCUUACAAGUAGUCAGAGCCCGUUAAUGGGUGAUGGCGUGCCUUUUGUAGAAUGAACCGGCGAGUUACGAUUUGAUGCAAGGUUAAGCAGUAAAUGUGGAGCCGUAGCGAAAGCGAGUCUGAAUAGGGCGUUUAGUAUUUGGUCGUAGACCCGAAACCAGGUGAUCUACCCUUGGUCAGGUUGAAGUUCAGGUAACACUGAAUGGAGGACCGAACCGACUUACGUUGAAAAGUGAGCGGAUGAACUGAGGGUAGCGGAGAAAUUCCAAUCGAACCUGGAGAUAGCUGGUUCUCUCCGAAAUAGCUUUAGGGCUAGCCUCAAGUGAUGAUUAUUGGAGGUAGAGCACUGUUUGGACGAGGGGCCCCUCUCGGGUUACCGAAUUCAGACAAACUCCGAAUGCCAAUUAAUUUAACUUGGGAGUCAGAACAUGGGUGAUAAGGUCCGUGUUCGAAAGGGAAACAGCCCAGACCACCAGCUAAGGUCCCAAAAUAUAUGUUAAGUGGAAAAGGAUGUGGCGUUGCCCAGACAACUAGGAUGUUGGCUUAGAAGCAGCCAUCAUUUAAAGAGUGCGUAAUAGCUCACUAGUCGAGUGACACUGCGCCGAAAAUGUACCGGGGCUAAACAUAUUACCGAAGCUGUGGAUUGUCCUUUGGACAAUGGUAGGAGAGCGUUCUAAGGGCGUUGAAGCAUGAUCGUAAGGACAUGUGGAGCGCUUAGAAGUGAGAAUGCCGGUGUGAGUAGCGAAAGACGGGUGAGAAUCCCGUCCACCGAUUGACUAAGGUUUCCAGAGGAAGGCUCGUCCGCUCUGGGUUAGUCGGGUCCUAAGCUGAGGCCGACAGGCGUAGGCGAUGGAUAACAGGUUGAUAUUCCUGUACCACCUAUAAUCGUUUUAAUCGAUGGGGGGACGCAGUAGGAUAGGCGAAGCGUGCGAUUGGAUUGCACGUCUAAGCAGUAAGGCUGAGUAUUAGGCAAAUCCGGUACUCGUUAAGGCUGAGCUGUGAUGGGGAGAAGACAUUGUGUCUUCGAGUCGUUGAUUUCACACUGCCGAGAAAAGCCUCUAGAUAGAAAAUAGGUGCCCGUACCGCAAACCGACACAGGUA